rnacentral:tRNA from 2 species
GGUGGCGAUGCCGAAGCGGUCGAGGCGUCGGUCUGCAAAACCGAUCUUAGUGGGUUCGAGUCCCACCGCUACCUCCA